CUCUACUCACGAGAGAACAAUGGAGGCCAAUUGAGCGAGUAAGUUGUUUGGAAACAGUCCGCAGCCCACAACAGCGAUGAGCACACAUAAAGAACGCACAUUAAGUGUUAAGAAGUGGAGAGGACAACUAUAGUUGGAGAUCUAUUUCUUUAUAGCGAAUUCCUCUGACUCAUCUCCUUGAGUGUCUCCUUACUCUCUCUGCUGGAAGCUAACAAGGCAGCCCUUCUCGCAAACAAACUUUCAGAGACAAAGAAAGGAAAAUGACUGGAAGCCAUUUUUGACGAAGGCAAUGACUGAGUGAAGCAACAGAGAAAGCAGCAAGCCCAUCAAAGGAAAGAUGCCCAGUAAUCUUUAGUAUUGAACUCAUUUGGCCUUAUUUCGGCUUUCAAAGAUAGUACAUCAUGCAUGUGAGGGUGAGCAACCUGG
rnacentral:lncRNA from 11 species